AAACAGCGUAUUGUCAAAGUCUCAAAGGGACUCCAGCAUUUGGGCUUUCUCCGUGGAAGAACUAAAGAAGAAAGAGAAAUGGCGACGGCAUCAUCAGGCGUACAGAAGCUCCUGCAAGUUGGGACAAAGAUCGUCGCCGUUGGCCGUAACUACGCCGCUCACGCCAAAGAACUCGGCAACGCCGUUCCUAAGGAGCCGGUUUUGUUCCUCAAACCAACCUCGUCUUACUUGGAGAAUGGAGGCACUAUCGAGAUUCCUCAUCCCUUGGAGUCGCUGGAUCAUGAAGUGGAGCUCGCCGUCGUGAUCGGCCAGAAAGCUCGCGAUGUGCCCCAGACCACCGCCAUGGAUUACGUUGGAGGUUAUGCUCUUGCCUUGGAUAUGACUGCUAGGGAAAUCCAAGCAUCUGCCAAGUCUGCAGGGCUUCCAUGGUCUGUGGCCAAAGGGCAGGAUACAUUCACACCUAUUAGUUCUGUUGUAAGAAAUGAAAUGAAUUGAAAUUCCUUUUUAUUUCGCUCUAUUGUUUAAACAUGUCAACAUCAAACAAAUUUUGAAGCCCUAUAAUUAGAAUUGCCUUGCGAUUCCAAGGUUUAUUCUCAACACAAAAUGAAUGUGGGAUUGGGAUGGGUGGUGAGGGAGUUAUGCAAGAUAACCUUCAGUCAUAUUCACUUCUGUUUUUCUUUUCUUUUUGUAGUUCUGAGUUCUGAAUAUAUGCACUAGUAGAAUUUUACCUUUUUGCCUAACCAUCAUCUGAUUUUGAUAUAGGAUCACAGCUUCGAUCUAUCUAGUUGUUUUAUUUUUUAAUUUUUAUUUUUUAUUUUUUUCUCUUUUAUCUGUAUGUGUUAUUGUACAUGAUGUUGUUUAUCUUGCUUUAACUUUUGAUUCUGCAAACACAUAUUGCAGCUUCCCAAGUCAGCUGUCCCUGACCCUGAUAACUUGGAACUGUGGUUAAAGGUGUCAGAAUCAUCUUUUUCUCAUUCUUUGCUUUUUCUUUUUGAAUGGGAUUGUCGAAUUGAUCGAGGUCAAAUGGAUAUGUUCUACCGCAGGUAGAUGGAGAUAUGAGACAGAAAGGUUCCACCAAAGACAUGAUUUUUAAGAUUCCUUAUCUCAUUAGUCACAUAAGUUCAAUCAUGACACUUUUUGAAGGAGAUGUAAUACUAACAGGUACCAUGCUGAACUUUUCCUUAUUCAUUUUUUAGAUUUUGAUAUUUAGUAACCAAUUAUGGUAAUGUAGCUGCCCUUUACUAAGGUUUGGAUACAAUUUGAUACUGAGUGAGAGCAAUAGCAUCCUCUUCCCAUUGAAGUUUACUUGCAGAUAGCCAAAGUCAUAAGUUUGGUCUUUUAAAUCUUGCAUAAUGAAGCAUUCUUGCUGGAUGUGAUUUGUCUGUGCUGAGUAGUUAAGUGUUAAAGAUCAUGUUGAGAUAGUUAAAGAUCAUGUUGAGAUAGGUAAAGGUCAUGUUUUUGUUGCCUUGGAAUCUUUUUGUGCAGGCACUCCACAAGGCGUUGGCCCCGUAAAAGUAGGUCAAAAGAUAACUGCUGGCAUCACAGAUCUUCUUGAUGUUCACUUUAAUGUUGAAAAACGCAGAAGGCCAGGAAGUUAUUAAGCAAGGGGAAAUUUUCUUUCAAUUUCUGACUUAAAAUAAUGGCCGAGGCAGCUCCAUUCGUGGCCUUGCUUUCCAGAAUCGCCCAAACGGUGAUACAUAAACAUCAAACUAUGUUUUUUUAUGUUAAAAUUUGGAUUUCUAGGAUGGAAAGAUUUUACGACAGGGAGCUUGGUGUUGACCAUCCUUUUGGAAUGAAGUGAUGAUAAUGUUAUGAACACAGUUAUGGAAUUGCAAUCCCAGUUGAAAGAACAAAUAUAUUCAAGCUUUUGUGAGAAGAAUAAACUAUUGCCAACAUAAUUAUCGAUAUUUCUGCAUUCUUUGCAUCUCACUUGAAUUUUCUUUUGGUCUUGAAUUAUCACGUCUCAUAUGAAACCCAAUAUAUUUGAUACACUGCCUUAAAUAAUCCAUAUUGCCAUAAUGGAUUCAGGCACUAUUGUUAUCUGUUCUUAAGGUAAAUUAUCUUCUAUGAGCAAUAUGGGAUAAAACUUGAGGUUAAACAAAGGAAAGGGAACAAUACUUAUUUUGAUCCUCCUGUAAAAAGUCAAGGAAUACAUGCCACCAGCUUAAGUUGUAAAGUAGCUACAAAGAGGCUUAACAGGAAAACCACACUCAAAAUUAUUUUUCAAACCACAGGAGCAAGCAAUGCAAGCUCUCAAAUAUAGUCUCUGACAAAGACGACAUUAGAUGGCAAAUCAGAACUUCUGAAAGAAAUCAUAUAUAUGUUUAGUGAUCUCCUCAGGCCUCUCCUGCUGGAGGAAGUGGGCAACUCCUUCCAUUACAACUACUUCUUGCAACAAUGGAACAUCUCUCUUGAACCCACCCUUCUCUAUAUAAUCCUUGUUACCUAAAGAAUUGUAGGUAAGGUCCUGAUCUCCAACAACGAACUUAACAGGUACUUUCACUUGAGCCCCCGUCCACGGCGCAGUGAGUUCCCAGUUUGAGUUGAAAUUCCGGUAAUAGUUCAAUCCUCCAGUGAAGCCUGUCCUUUCAAAUUUGCUGGUGUAAUACUGCACAUCUUCCUCAGACAACCAAGAGGGCAAGACAAGGGGCGUUUCUGCUGGGCGGCUAAAAACUUUACCUUUAGGAAAGAAAAGAGGACCUGGAUGACGGUAUGUUAGGAAUUCCUUCACAAUUCUCUGUGUACCAAGCUCUGCAAACUCAGCUUCUAUAUCUCCACGCUCCUGAAUUCUGCACAUGUAGUAAUCAUCACCGUAAACAG
rnacentral:misc_RNA from 1 species